GCUGUUGUUGCAGGGCGGCCCAGACAGGACGCCCUGUCUCCUUUCUCUCCUACAACCGCUUUUUAAAAGUCUGUUUCUGUUUUUGCUGGUUCCCCGGCGAGUCGGGCCCUGCCGUGGCCCCUGAGGAGGGGGCGGCGAUCGCGCGAUGCGGCUGCGACCACGACUGCGGCGCCCAGGGGAACCCGGUGUGCGGCUCCGACGGGGUGGUCUACGCCAGCGCCUGCCGCCUGCGGGAGGCCGCCUGCCGCCAGGCCGCGCCCCUGGAGCCCGCGCCUCCCAGCUGCUGCGCCCUCGAGCAGCGGCUGCCGGCCUCGGCGUCCUCCACCUACGGGGAUGACCUGGCUUCUGUGGCCCCGGGGCCUUUACAGCAGGACGUGAAGCUGAAUGGAGCCGGCCUUGAGGUGGUGGACUCAGACCCUGAGCCUGAAGGGGAGGCGGAGGACAGGUAACAGCUGGGCCCACCCCAGAGAUCAGAGACAUAGGCUCAAUAUCUCCCCACCUCCCUCCCCUACCAACCUCCCCCGACGACCUGCCCCGACCCCUCCGCCCGGCCCCGACCCCCCACUGGCAGUGGGAGUGACU
rnacentral:sRNA from 1 species